AACUGUGCCGUGGCAUUAGGGAAAUAGUAGCGUCUGUGACAUCAUGGAAGCACAAGAAAGUGUGGGUGGGAGAACGGCAAGUCUCCGUGUCUGAAAUGCAAGGCAGUGCUGAGAUGCAGGGCUGGAGGGGUCUGGAGCAGAUUGCCAAGGGUGUGGUUGGCAGGUGAAGAAGCUGGCACCUGAUCUGGGGACUCGGGUGUACUCCAGAAAGCUCACCCUGAAAGGCAAAUACCCUCCAGUGUUUCCUAGUGGAAAUGUGGGAGGGACCCACGAGGCUGCAUAACCUGCCUGCCCUGUCCCCACUUCUUCCCUCACUCCUGCCCAGCCACACCAUCAUCAGCAUGUGCUGCUCCUUCUCCCAGGUGAGACUUUUGCAUCACCCCUGCUCUGUCUCCAGUAGGAAAUGAAAUGUGCUGAACUUGAGGAAGAGAGACCAAAGGGUCCGUGCAGAGCUUGAAUAAACUGUAACUGUGUGUCAGUCAGAUGGCCAUGGGGCUCAGUGUGGUCGGUCCAGCUACUCCAACCCCAUAUCCCCUCUGGCCCCAGCCCCAACCCAACCUCAACGCCAGCUUCAUCCUCAGAAACAGAAGCAGCAUCCAGACUUCCCA